GAUGAACGCUAGCUACAGGCUUAACACAUGCAAGUCGAGGGGUAACGAGAGGAAAGCUUGCCUUCCUUGUCGACGACCGGCGCACGGGUGAGUAACGCGUAUCCAACCUGCCCCCAACUAGGGAAUAACCUUGCGAAAGUAAGACUAAUUCCCUAUAAUUUCCUCAUAUGUCAUCUGACGAGGAAUAAAGAUUUAUCGGUUGUGGAUGGUGAUGCGUCUGAUUAGCUUGUUGGCGGGGUAACGUCCCACCAAGGCAACGAUCAGUAGGGGUUGUGAGAGGAAGGUCCCCCACAUUGUAACUGAGACACGGUCCAAACUCCUACGGGAGGCAGCAGUGAGGAAUAUUGGUCAAUGGGCGGAAUCCUGAACCAGCCAAGUAGCGUGUAGGAUGACGGCCCUAUGGGUUGUAAACUGCUUUUAUACAGGAAUAAAGUUAGCCACGUGUGGUUAUUUGUAGGUACUGUAUGAAUAAGGACCGGCUAAUUCCGUGCCAGCCGCCGCGGUAA
rnacentral:rRNA from 1 species